UCUAAGCUCAAGAAAUUAGCCAAGCCC
rnacentral:piRNA from 1 species